CCUACGGGCGGCAGCAGUGGGGAAUAUUGCACAAUGGGCGCAAGCCUGAUGCAGCCAUGCCGCGUGUGUGAAGAAGGCCUUCGGGUUGUAAAGCACUUUCAGCGGGGAGGAAGGCGUUAAGGUUAAUAACCUUGGCGAUUGACGUUACCCGCAGAAGAAGCACCGGCUAACUCCGUGCCAGCAGCCGCGGUAAUACGGAGGGUGCAAGCGUUAAUCGGAAUUACUGGGCGUAAAGCGCACGCAGGCGGUCUGUCAAGUCGGAUGUGAAAUCCCCGGACUCAACCUGGGAACUGCAUUCGAAACUGGCAGGCUAGAGUCUUGUAGAGGGGGGUAGAAUUCCAGGUGUAGCGGUGAAAUGCGUAGAGAUCUGGAGGAAUACCGGUGGCGAAGGCGGCCCCCUGGACAAAGACUGACGCUCAGGUGCGAAAGCGUGGGGAGCAAACAGGAUUAGAUACCCGGGUAGUC
rnacentral:rRNA from 1 species